CAUGUCGAUCACCAUAUUCUGGGGUUGGGACUUCACCUCCUGCAGUCUGAACAUCAAAAUUAUCCACCAAUUGUCAAGAUUAAAAACAAUCUAAAUCAGGCAGUGACUCAGGAUCAGGUCUGUCGAUCCCCAGCAUGUGACGUGGAUCUUCCUCGGGGAAUUUCGUAGCAACAUUGCUGAGCUGGGCUGCCAUGUUUACGGAAUUCAGUGGAGAAAAGCUGUGGAUUCAUCGAGGUCAUCCAUGGGAACUCUUGACCAUUACCCGAA